ACUCCUACGGGAGGCAGCAGUGAGGAAUAUUGGACAAUGGGGCAACCCUGAUCCAGCCAUGCCGCGUGAGUGAUGACGGCCUUAGGGUUGUAAAGCUCUUUCGCUAGGGAAGAUAAUGACGGUACCUAGUAAAGAAGCCCGGCUAACUUCGUGCCAGCAGCCGCGGUAAUACGAAGGGGGCGUAGCGUUGUUCGGAAUCACUGGGGCGUAAAGCGCGCGUAGGCGGACUUUUAAGUCAGGGGUGAAAUCCCGAGGCUCAACCUCGGAACUGCCUUUUGAUACUGGAAGUCUUGAGUUCGAGAGAGGUGAGUGGAAUACCGAGUGUAGAGGUGAAAUUCGUAGAUAUUCGGUGGAACACCAGUGGCGAAGGCGGCUCACUGGCUCGAUACUGACGCUGAGGUGCGAAAGCGU
rnacentral:rRNA from 1 species